rnacentral:rRNA from 1 species
GACGAACGCUGGCGGCGUGCCUAACACAUGCAAGUCGUGCGAGAAAGUUCCUUCGGGAGCGAGUAAAGCGGCGCACGGGUGAGUAACACGUAGGUAACCUGCCCCCCAGUCUGGAACAACUAGAGGAAACUCUAGCUAAUGCCGGAUGAGACCACGAUCCCUUCGGGGGUUGCGGCCAAAGAUGGCCUCUACUUGUAAGCUAUCGCUGAGGGAUGGGCCUGCGGGCCAUUAGCUUGUUGGUGAGGUAACGGCUCACCAAGGCUGUGAUGGCUAGCUGGUCUGAGAGGAUGACCAGCCACACUGGGACUGAGACACGGCCCAGACUCCUACGGAGGCAGCAGUGGGGAAUAUUGCGCAAUGGGCGAAAGCCUGACGCAGCGACGCCGCGUGGGUGAUGAAGGCC